UUAUAUUAAGAUAAUCAAAAAUGGCCCCAACAAACUCUCUCAAACUUUUCUCACUACUAAUUUCUUCAUUAUUUUCCAUUAUCAAAAUUACAAUGGCUGGAGAUCCAGAUAUCCUUACAGACUUUGUUAUACCUCCAAACUUGAGUGCAUCAAAUAUAACAGGCUCAUUCUUCACUUACACUGGUCUAAGAACUAUAUCAACAGCUUCAACCUUUAAUGUCACCAAAGUAAGCAUGAGCGAAUUCGCGGCGCUCAACGGCCAAAGCAUUAGCUAUGCCGUCCUGCAGUACCCGGGGGGGACAGCUAACCCGCCCCACGUUCAUCCUCGCUCGGCCGAGCUCCUCUUACUCAUCCAAGGAUCUCUAGAAGUAGGCUUUGUGGACACAACUAAUAAGCUCUACACACAAACUAUUGAAGCUGGAGACAUUUUUGUGUUCCCAAAGGGUUUGGUGCACUUUCAAUACAAUGCCGAUUCCAACACAUUUGCAGCUGCUCUUUCGGCGUUUGGAAGUGCUAACGCAGGGACAUCUUCAGUUCCUAAGGCUUUGUUUGCUAAUGAUAUUGACGAUGAUGCUUUGGCUGUCUCUUUCAUGACUGAUGUUGCUACCAUUCAAAAGCUCAAGGCUGGUCUUGCUUCCAAGCCAUGAUGAGGAUAUAUAUGAGAAUUGUUGGAGCUUGUUGUCAUAAAUUUGGGUUGUCUUUUUAUAUUGGGUGAUUAAUAAUGUUAUCAAAAUGGAAAAUUUACAUGGUAUAUUAACUUUUACUAUUUUUUUAUAAAAAUACUGUCAGACGGUAUUUUUU